rnacentral:rRNA from 1 species
CGGGACGGGUGAGUAAUGUCUGGGAAACUGCCUGAUGGAGGGGGGUAACUACUGGAAACGGUAGCUAAUACCGCAUAACGUCGCAAGACCAAAGAGGGGGACCUCCGGGGCCUCUUGCCAUCGGAUGUGCCCAGAUGGGAUUAGCUAGUAGGUGGGGUAACGGCUCACCUAGGCGACGAUCCCUAGCUGGUCUGAGAGGAUGACCAGCCACACUGGAACUGAGACACGGUCCAG